rnacentral:rRNA from 1 species
AACGAACGCUGGCGGCAGGCCUAACACAUGCAAGUCGAACGCUCUAGCAAUAGAGAGUGGCGCACGGGUGCGUAACGCGUGGGAAUAUGCCCUUGACUACGGAACAACGUCGGGAAACUGACGCUAAUACCGUAUAGUGUCUUCGGACCAAAGAUUUAUCGGUCAAGGAUUAGCCCGCGUCUGAUUAGCUAGUUGGUGAGGUAACGGCUCACCAAGGCGACGAUCAGUAGCUGGUCUGAGAGGAUGAUCAGCCACACUGGGACUGAGACACGGCCCAGACUCCUACGGGAGGCAGCAGUGAGGAAUAUUGGACAAUGGAGGCAACUCUGAUCCAGCCAUGCCGCGUGAGUGACGAAGGCCUUCGGGUUGUAAAGCUCUUUCAGAUGCGAAGAUAAUGACGGUAACAUCAGAAGAAGCCCCGGCUAAAUUCGUGCCAGCCGCCGCCGUAA